UCGUUCCCCGAGCCUGCGAUCCUCGGAAGGAACGCGAGGCUCUGGGAUAAUCCGUUUCAGGGAGGAAUCUGAUUGGCCGAUGAAAUGGAAUGCGUAGUUCAAUCUUAGCAAGGAUUCCUGGCUUCCGGCAACGGAUUAUCCCAGAGCCUCGCGUUCCUUCCCGAGGAUCGCAGGCUCGGGGAACGAGAUUGAAAAGCUCAUAAUUCAAAACUUUGUAAGCUUUCUAUUGCUGCAAGUUAUUUUUUUCUAUAAAUGAACCUG